GCCCCCAUAGCUCAGGGGAUAGAGCGUCGGUUUCCUAAACCGUGCGUCGCAGGUUCGAAUCCUGCUGGGGGCACCG
rnacentral:tRNA from 1 species